UUCAGCAUUUCAAAACUUUAUUAACCUAUCACCCGACGUUGGAGUUUUUAACCUGACAUGGUAAACCCACGCCGUUUUCAAAAAUUUCACUUUUUUCUUUAAUCCAAAAUUAUAUUUUUAAUCAUCGGUCCGUCGUAGUUUUUUGUAAGAGAAAUUUUUCCACAUGAUCAUUUUUUCACGUGUUCAUCAUUCUUAGUUUUUGACGUCGUACCUGAAGACGCUUUUAGAAAAAGCGAAACAUUGUUGUACCGAAAUUAGAAAAAAAUAAUAAAUAAUCAUCGUGGA
rnacentral:lncRNA from 1 species